rnacentral:rRNA from 1 species
AACGAACGCUGGCGGCAGGCCUAACACAUGCAAGUCGAGCGCCCCGCCAGGGGAGCGGCGGACGGGUGAGUAACGCGUGGGAAUAUGCCCUUUGCUACGGAAUAGUCUCGGGAAACUGGGGGUAAUACCGUAUACGCCCUUUGGGGGAAUGAUUUAUCGGCGAAGGAUUAGCCCGCGUUGGAUUAGGUAGUUGGUGGGGUAAUGGCCUACCAAGCCGACGAUCCAUAGCUGGUUUGAGAGGAUGAUCAGCCACACUGGGACUGAGACACGGCCCAGACUCCUACGGGAGGCAGCAGUGGGGAAUCUGAGACAAUGGGGGCAACCCUGAUCUAGCCAUGCCGCGUGAGUGAUGAAGGCCUUAGGGUUGUAAAGCUCUUUCAGCUGGGAAGAUAAUGACGGUACCAGCAGAAGAAGCCCCGGCUAACUCCGU